rnacentral:rRNA from 1 species
ACUCAAAUGAAUAGACGGGGACCCGCACAAGCGGUGGAGCAUGUGGUUCAAUUCGAUGCAACGCGAAGAACCUUACCUGGCCUUGACAUCCUCGGAACCCUGCAGAGAUGCGGGGGUGCCUUCGGGAACCGAGAGACAGGUGCUGCAUGGCUGUCGUCAGCUCGUGUCGUGAGAUGUUGGGUUAAGUCCCGCAACGAGCGCAACCCUUGUCCUUAGUUGCCAGCACUUCGGGUGGGCACUCUAAGGAGACCGCCGGUGACAAACCGGAGGAAGGUGGGGAUGACGUCAAGUCAUCAUGGCCUUUAUGGCCAGGGCUACACACGUGCUACAAUGGCCGGUACAAAGGGCAGCCAACCCGCGAGGGGGAGCUAAUCCCAUAAAGCCGGUCGUAGUCCGGAUCGGAGUCUGCAACUCGACUCCGUGAAGUCGGAAUCGCUAGUAAUCGCAGAUCAGCAUUGCUGCGGUGAAUACGUUCCCGGGUCUUGUACACACCGCCCGU